UACGAAGGGGACUAGCGUUGUUCGGAUUUACUGGGCGUAAAGCGCGCGUAGGCGGAUCGCUAAGUCAGGGGUGAAAUCCCAGGGCUCAACCCUGGAACUGCCUUUGAUACUGACGAUCUGGAGAUCGGGAGAGGUUGGUGGAAUUCCGAGUGUAGAGGUGAAAUUCGUAGAUAUUCGGAGGAACGCCAGAAGCGAAGGCGGCCAGCUGGCGCGAUACUGACGCUGAGGCGCGAAAGCGUGGGGAGCAAACAGG
rnacentral:rRNA from 1 species